GACCUUGAACGGUAAUUAAACCGCCUCCUAAGCGGUAGGCCGUGCGUUCGAGUCGCGCCGGGGCCGCCA
rnacentral:tRNA from 1 species